rnacentral:lncRNA from 1 species
CUAGGUUACACUUCUAAAAACAUUCCUCAACUAUUACCUCAUUGGCCAUGACGUCAGUAUAUGUCGCUAGGCGCCAUUUUGGUUGAUUUUAGAGUUUGCUUUAAUGGUGACCACUGAUCUCAUGGUAGUGACGGCGAAAUUGUUGAGUUAUUUUAGAUAUUAAAAAUUGUCCCGUGGAGGAGAGAGUUUUACACUCUCAGACUCGACAUGAUCAGGGAUUAAGCUAGCAUUAAGGAUAAAUAACGAGUCUGUCUGUAUUUAAAGACUACAUUUGGUGGAAUUCGGUUAUGUUGGGGUUCGGUGCAACAAGUAAACAGAAAUGGAAAAGCAACAUGAUAACGUGUAUUUAUUUAAUAUUGUCCAUUGCAAUUAACUAAGAUAUGGAAUAAUCAGUCACAUUAUUAAAAACCCAAUUACAGACCAUUACAUGUACAAACAGGUAGUUUAUUUUAAAGCAUGCAAACAAUUUUCGUAAUCAAAUCAGUGUAUUGGUGCAUAAUCUUACUUACUGCUAACAAUAGACUUUUUUAUAACAAUUUACUUUUCCACUGCCGCAGUAGCAGAAAUCACAAUUGUCUCUGAACGUUCCGGGCUAAAGAAAAAAUGAAGAAACAAAAACCAAGUUAAUUAUGGUGGCUCCUUAAAUUAAAGUUGCUGGGCCUAUUUUUUAAAAUAGGUUAAAUUGUAAAUCAAUAACCGUACACUUUGACAGUGGUUUAACAUACUAUUCCUUGCAAACAUCAAUGUAGGUCAUUUACAUAACUUGCAUGCUUCCUUAUUUAAAUAGCUCAGCCGAUCAAAUUUGAUAAAAAAUCAGAUAUUCUAGAGAGAUGAUCUUAAAGAAUAGAUAAAAAACUUUGUUUCUUUCUGUAUUUAAACAAAUAAGGAAAAGUGGACGGGUAUUAUUAGGACAAAAUUUGCUGUUGGCAAGUUGACGCGCCAUACAAGCGACAUAAACGUCGUUGUCGUCUCGCUAUAUUUUAAUAUCAACGAUAUAACUCGUAUAUUAAAGGCUUAGCACGCGCAGGAAAACAUGGCACAUGUCUUUAAAAUACAUAGUUGAAGGUGAUAUAAAACUGAGAAACUUUCACACGUUAUGUAUAAGAACGUUAUAGGCCAUGGUUUUUACGCUCGGAUAUUCACGGAUAAACGUUUGGAUAUAUAUAUGAUUUUCUGAGAAACGUUUGGAUUUAUAUAUGGUCUUCUAUAUCUAUGGCUCUGAUGCUGAUGGCUUGAUGGAUAAAUUUGUAUCUAUGUGUAUGUUGUAAAAUUUAUUUAAAGACGCUAUAACCUCAUCAACACGAGUUGGUUUUCAUGAGGGGCGUCACAAAUGUGCCAUAUCAUGAGUAUUAAUAUUAUAAUUACUAAUUAGAUAUUCCUUUUUUCAUUUUAAAGGAAUAAAUAGAUUGCGCCUCUUUCACAUCCCGAGAAAGGCUGUUCCAAAGUCUUGCCCCACUGUAUUUUAAGCUUUUUUACCAUGAUCGCAGGGACUCCCUUCUCGGUUUUGGAAGAGCUAUAUCAAUAUUACUGUAUCUAAGAUUAUAAUUAACCUGCAUUGAACUAUACUCCUAAUCAGUGAC